UUGCUGUGAUGAGGUUCCACUUCAGGUCCGUGUUUCUGAAUCCUGAUUUUAUUGGAAGUUCUGAGCCA